UACGGAGGGAGCUAGCGUUGUUCGGAAUUACUGGGCGUAAAGCGCGCGUAGGCGGCUUUGUAAGUUAGAGGUGAAAGCCCGGAGCUCAACUCCGGAACUGCCUUUAAAACUGCAUCGCUUGAAUCCAGGAGAGGUGAGUGGAAUUCCGAGUGUAGAGGUGAAAUUCGUAGAUAUUCGGAAGAACACCAGUGGCGAAGGCGGCUCACUGGACUGGUAUUGACGCUGAGGUGGCGAAAAGCGAUGGGGGAGCAAACAGGG
rnacentral:rRNA from 1 species